rnacentral:rRNA from 1 species
AUUGAACGCUGGCGGCAUGCCUUACACAUGCAAGUCGAACGGCAGCACGGGUGCUUGCCCCUGGUGGCGAGUGGCGAACGGGUGAGUAAUACAUCGGAACAUGUCCUGUAGUGGGGGAUAGCCCGGCGAAAGCCGGAUUAAUACCGCAUACGAUCUACGGAUGAAAGCGGGGUACCUUCGGGCCUCGCGUCAUGGGGUUAGCUGAUGGCUGAUUAGCUAGUUGGUGGGGUAAAGGCCUACCAAGGCGACGAUCAGUAGCUGGUCUGAGAGGACGAUCAGCCACACUGGGACUGAGACACGGCCCAGACUCCUACGGGAGGCAGCAGUGGGGAAUUUUGGACAAUGGGCGAAAGCCUGAUCCAGCAAUGCCGCGUGUGUGAAGAAGGCCUUCGGGUUGUAAAGCACUGUUGUCCGGAAAGAAAUCCUUGGCCCUAAUACGGUCGGGGGAUGACGGUACCGGAAGAAUAAGCACCGGCUAACUACGUG